rnacentral:rRNA from 1 species
UACGUAGGGGGCAAGCGUUGUCCGGAUUUAUUGGGCGUAAAGAGCGUGUAGGCGGCCAAACAGGUCAGCUGUGAAAACUCGAGGCUCAACCUCGAGACGUCGGUUGAAACCGUUUGGCUAGAGUCCGGAAGAGGAGAGUGGAAUUCCCGGUGUAGCGGUGAAAUGCGCAGAUAUCGGGAAGAACACCCGUGGCGAAGGCGGCUCUCUGGGACGGUACUGACGCUGAGACGCGGAAAGCGUG